rnacentral:misc_RNA from 1 species
GAAAGUCGUAACAAGGUUUCCGUAGGUGAACCUGCGGAAGGAUCAUUCAUAAUAAAGUGUUUUAUGGCACUUUUUAAAAAUCCAUAUCCACCUUGUGUGCAAUGUUAGAUCUCGUCAAUCUUGGCGAGAUUUUUAUACAUCAACUCAUUCUUUAACUAAUUUGUCUGAAAAAUAUGAUGAAUACUUAAUUCAAAAUACAACUUUCAACAACGGAUCUCUUGGCUCUC